CCAGACUCCUACGGGAGGCAGCAGUCGGGAAUAUUGCGCAAUGGAGGAAACUCUGACGCAGUGACGCCGCGUGCAGGAAGAAGGUUUUCGGAUUGUAAACUGCUUUAGACAGGGAAGAAACAAGACAGUACCUGUAGAAUAAGCUCCGGCUAACUACGUGCCAGCAGCCGCGGUAAUACGUAGGGAGCAAGCGUUAUCCGGAUUUAUUGGGUGUAAAGGGUGCGUAGACGGAGAAGCAAGUUAGUUGUGAAAUCCCUCGGCUUAACUGAGGAACUGCAACUAAAACUACUUCCCUUGAGUGCUGGAGAGGAAAGUGGAAUUCCUAGUGUAGCGGUGAAAUGCGUAGAUAUUAGGAGGAACACCAGUGGCGAAGGCGACUUUCUGGACAGUAACUGACGUUGAGGCACGAAAGUGUGGGGAGCAAACAGGAUUAGAUACCCCGGUAACU
rnacentral:rRNA from 1 species